ACCCAAUAGAUACCCGGGUAGUCCCAGCCGUAAACGAUGCUCGCUAGGUGUCAGGCAUGGCGCGACCGUGUCUGGUGCCGCAGGGAAGCCGUGAAGCGAGCCACCUGGGAAGUACGGCCGCAAGGCUGAAACUUAAAGGAAUUGGCGGGGGAGCACAACAACGGGUGGAGCCUGCGGUUUAAUUGGACUCAACGCCGGACAACUCACCGGGGCGACAGCACUAUGUAGGCCAGGCUGAAGACCUUGCCUGAAUCGCUGAGAGGAGGUGCAUGGCCGUCGCCAGUUCGUACUGUGAAGCAUCCUGUUGAGUCAGGCAACGAGCGAGACCCGUGCCCACUGUUACCAGCAUGUCCUCCGGGACGAUGGGUACUCUGUGGGGACCGCCGGUGUUAAAUCGGAGGAAGGUGCGGGCCACGGUAGGUCAGUAUGCCCCGAAUCUCCCGGGCUACACGCGGGCUACAAUGGAUGGGACAAUGGGUCCCUACCCCGAAAGGGAUGGUAAUCUCCAAACCCGAUUCUUAGUUCGGAUCGAGGGCUGUAACUCGCCCUC
rnacentral:rRNA from 1 species